rnacentral:rRNA from 1 species
UACGUAGGAUGCAAGCGUUGUCCGGAAUUAUUGGGCGUAAGGAGCGCGCAGGCGGUUUUUCAAGUCAGAUGUGAAAUCUCCGGGCUUAACCCGGAGGGGUCAUUUGAAACUGAGAGACUAGAGUACAGCAGAGGAGAGCGGAAUUCCCGGUGUAGUGGUGAAAUGCGUAGAGAUCGGGAGGAACACCAGUGGCGAAGGCGGCUAUCUGGGCUGAAACUGACGCUGAGGCGCGAAGGCUAGGGGAGCAAACAGG